rnacentral:rRNA from 1 species
UACGUAGGGUGCAAGCGUUGUCCGGAAUUAUUGGGCGUAAAGAGCUCGUAGGCGGUUUGUCACGUCUGCUGUGAAAACGCGAGGCUCAACCUCGCGCCUGCAGUGGGUACGGGCAGACUAGAGUGCGGUAGGGGAGAUUGGAAUUCCUGGUGUAGCGGUGGAAUGCGCAGAUAUCAGGAGGAACACCGAUGGCGAAGGCAGAUCUCUGGGCCGUAACUGACGCUGAGGAGCGAAAGCGUGGGGAGCGAACAGG